GAUGAACGCUGGCGGCGUGCCUAAUACAUGCGAGUCGAGCGAACAGACGAGGAGCUUGCUCCUCUGACGUUAGCGGCGGACGGGUGAGUAACACGUGGAUAACCUACCUAUAAGACUGGGACAACUUCGGGAAACCGGAGCUAAUACCGGAUAAUAUAUUGAACCGCAUGGUUCAAUAGUGAAAGACGGUUUUGCUGUCACUUAUAGAUGGAUCCGCGCCGCAUUAGCUAGUUGGUAAGGUAACGGCUUACCAAGGCAACGAUGCGUAGCCGACCUGAGAGGGUGAUCGGCCACACUGGAACUGAGACACGGUCCAGACUCCUACGGGAGGCAGCAGUAGGGAAUCUUCCGCAAUGGGCGAAAGCCUGACGGAGCAACGCCGCGUGAGUGAUGAAGGUCUUCGGAUCGUAAAACUCUGUUAUUAGGGAAGAACAAAUGUGUAAGUAACUAUGCACGUCUUGACGGUACCUAAUCAGAAAGCCACGGCUAACUACGUG
rnacentral:rRNA from 1 species